GGAGGAAUGGCAGAGCGGUCGAUUGUGGCAGUCUCGAAAACUGUUGACUGUAACAGGUCCGGGGGUUCGAAUCCCUCUUCCUCCG
rnacentral:tRNA from 1 species